CUCCUUGUGAACCUGUCCACAGAGCUAGUUAAAAGUCCUUAUGACAUGGUGGCUGGCCUCCACAGGGUAAGUGAUCCAAGAGACAGAGGUGAGGGCUGCAAGGCCUUUUAUGACCUAGCCUUGGAGGUCACACACCAUGAUCCUGCCACAUGCAACUUGUCACAGCAGGCCAGCCUCAGUAGUGCAGGACCAAAUACCAGGAGGCAAAGUGACCACAGCAUACUCUGAUUUGCCUAAAAGGCAAAUAACAUUGUCUCUACUGGCUGGAAGGGCACUCAAGCCAGAGGUGACAUUGUCUGUGGUGUGAUUUAUCCCCAAGUCACCAGCGGGGCUGGAUUUGAGUCAGACCACCUGUGUCUGGUGCUAUCUCUUCCCACUUGGGAGAGGUGUUUGGCCUGUCUCAGGGUCCUCGUCUGUGAAAUGGGCUCUGACUCCUGCCUUGUGGUGUGAUGUGAGGUUUGGGUCCAGUGCUGACACAAGCUGGUGCCUGAAACACCGGAAAGCUGUAAAAUGAGGUGCUCUGCUAUCCGUGGAAACUUAUCACCAAGCUUUCAUUCUUAAGCCAUGCUGCUCGAUUUUGGAGAUGUUAUACCAGAAUUCAGUGGAACGUGGGGGCAAGGAAAUAUCAGAAGGACAGUGAGAAGUGCCAUCCCAGCAGAGUACCAAGGAAAGGGCACAUCUCGAGAGACCUUUGUCAGGGCCCUGGAUCAUUCAGACUCACUUCAAGCACUGUGGGGUCCUCAGCCCUGAGGAGCUACACAUUCCUGUUCCUGCAUGGAAGCAGCAGGUAUGACCUACGCAGCAACCAUGCAGUGAAGGUACAGAAGAAAGACAAUGGAGUUCCUUCAGUGUGACCACUUGGAAUCUGCAUUUGUGUUUAAAAUCCCAGACAGUGACUUAAGGUUAGAACUUCGAGGUGCACCAUUUUAUUUGUUACUUCUGCAGGCUCAUGUAUUGAGCAAAUAUCAGUAUCCUGGAGCCCAAAUACUGCUGAAAGCAACUGAAAAUAUGACAGUGAGUACCAUCAAUAUCAGCCCUAAUCAACUUCCAGUUGUAUCCAGAAUACCAAUACUAUCAUUUCAGCAGCUCUGCAUGGGUCUCGAAGGGCAAGUCUGCUAUCCCUGCCUUCUGCAGAGGCUCAGGGAGGCUGACCACCUGCAGAGAAACCACAGCUGGAGUGGGGCACCCGCUGGGGGAUCCUCACAGAGCAGCGUCCUGCUGUGGGGUAACCGCCCUCUCCUGCCGCUAUUCUGCCUUUGCCCUUACUAGUCCUGUUGUCUGACACACUUGACUUUCCUUUGUAAUAUUUUGAGGAGGACCCUGAGGGUUUCCCUCUUCAUUCUGUUCCUGAAUUAUUUUCCCCCAAUUAUUUCAGAUUAUGUAUUUGCUUUUAAUUAUCUUUAUGUUGAUCAUUUAUCCUAAAACUCUGUUAUAUCCAUUUAUUUUAGCCUUGGUAUUUUGAUAACACCAUUUAAGCCUCAGCUGUGUGGCCAGUUAAAUGAGAUGAGUCAUAUCAAACAAGCACAUGCUGAUUUGUAGGUCUGCCUUCUCACCGACCUGUGGUGGGGCGAGAAUAGGGUUCCUGAUCUGCGCAGCAGUGCACAAGCAAUCUGCCACCCAGGCAGCUUCUGUGACUUCACGAGCAAUGACAUUUCUGAGACUGAUGAUGCUUCCUUGACCUAGACAUCCUCCUUCACAGUACCUACUUCAGGGGUGACUACUGCUGAGUACAGGAGCUGGGGGCUAGGGGAGAUCCCACAGGCAAAGAAGAGAGACAAGUGCAGUCCCAAGAGAUUCAGAAUGCUCACCCCACAGCCAAUCAACACCAGUUCUGGUUGGGAAAUCAAUGCAUCUGUACCCUGAGUUGCAUUGGAUCCUGGAGAACCAGAGCUCUGCAUGAUUUCUACUCUCCAGCCAGGGUAUUACAGCCAGAACUUGUAAUACUAAAAAUGGCAUUCUCUAAACUCCCUUGCAGUUAGAUUCUGGGCCUGAUUUUAUUCCAUUUUGACUAGGUGCAUGUGUUUUCCAUUUACAAGGUAGUGCGGCUGUGCUUCGCUGUGUCUGCUGUUUCCAUUGUUAAGCACAGAGGAGAGGUCCUGGUUUUCUGCAGCACUUUUAGCAAGAGGUCCCGAUUUCUGGGCAGUGGCUCCAUAAGUGUCAAGAGCAGGGCUUGGAGCAGCCAUUUUGCUGGUGAGCACAUAGCAGAUACAUAGUUCUGGGGCCUUUUUUUGAUUCCUAGCUCCUAAGUUAAGGUAUUCCUGAAGCACUUGGUUGUGGUUGAUUUUCCAAUUUCCUAAUUGUAAUAAAGGUGGGUGAUCUGAGAGCCAGAGGAGGCCCAGCAUCCUUUCUCCCCAACCAUUAUCCAACUUCCUGCUCAAAGCAGCUGUAGGACACCAUGGGUGGAGUUAUCUGGCACAUCCACUGAGCUGCCUAGAGUAGCUCUAUGCACAUUGGAAUGUGAGAUUCACUUGGGGAGGUGGCAAAAUGUUAUGGAAAAUAUUAGUAAAAUUUAUAGUUUAUAAUCUCAAACCUUUUGGAAGGCCAAAGGUUUUAUUGGGGCAGGCCAAAGGCAGCUGUCGGGUCCAUCACUAGGGAAGAGAUAGGGAUGAUAAGAAGCUUUCCCAGCUGAAGUCUGCUUACUCCACAUCCCUUUGUCUCUGCUGUUUAAUCACAUAAACUUUGUGCUGGAUGGUCUUCUCAGGGGGAGAUCAAAAGGGAAUUACCUGUUAAUAGAGUUUACUCUGGGCCCAGAACCUAAAGCUUUUAUCAUUCAUAAAACCUCUCUGUCAAUCGUGUUAAUUAUCCACAAGUGUGUUGACUUAGAACCUCUCUUAUGAAUAAAUGUGUGGAUGGACAGAGGGUCUUGGUCAAUCCUACUUAGAACCUCUCUUAUGAAUAAAUGUGUGGAUGGACAGAGGGUCUUGGUCAAUCCUACUUAGAACCUCUCUUAUGAAUAAAUGUGUGGAUGGACAGAGGGUCUUGGUCAAUCCUACUUAGACCCUCUGUUAGGAAUAAAUGUGUGGCUGGACAGAGCGUCUUGGUCAAUUGGUUGCAUUUCACCCUCUGAAAGCAGCCAACAGCCAUCCCUAGCCCACUUGUACCACCGUUAUGGUGUAAGUAUGCAUUUAUUCAUCUGUCGUUGAGUCAAGGUCUGUAGGCCAGACUUCCGCAGGUGGUGGGUAAUGUCUCAGUGGAACACAUCUUGAGUGAAUAAACGAUGCAUUUAUCUGGAGGACUCUUCAAAAGAGGCACAUAUCUCAUGAGUUGGUAAGUCUCUAUGCACAAGUCACAAUAAAUUGGAAGCACUAGUCUUGGGAAUGUUCUUUAUUAUUAAUAAUAGGAAUGUCUUCAUUGGCUUUUAAAAAACUUUUGGAAGGUGAGUAUUAGGUGGAAUCAGAUUUGCUGUCCUGUCCCUGAAAUUUGGCCUUUCUUUCUCCUUUCUCUCCUCUAUAUUAGAUUAUUUUCUAACUAGAGCACAAGGGCACCCCAUGGAUUUAAUUACUUGGAACCAUAUUUCCUUUCAUUAAAGGGAUUUACUUUAAGUCCUAAACAAGUUUGACAUUUAGCCUGUGUACUUUAAAUAACAAGUGAUUUUCUGUGUUCUCCAAGGUUACUACAAUAAACAUGUUAUCUGCAGGUUUUAAGUGUAAAAGGUUAACAUAAUCUCUAUGCACCCCUUGCUUCCCAAGGAAAUAUUUUUGCAUACACAAUUAUACACAGAUAUACAAAGUAUAGGCUUUGUUUUACUUUAUCUUUACACAAGAUAAAGUAAAACAAAGCUUACUAUUUAGAAAGCUUACUAUUCUGUAACAUUUAGUACAUCCUGAACAUCUUUGCUUAGCAGGACAGACAAUGAAAAGCCAGCAGAAUAGCAAGGAUCUGUUGAGCAUUUCUCAUGCGCUGUGUGUUAAACUAAGCCCUUAAGUGGAUCGACAUCUUUGAUCUACAUAGCAGAUAGGAAGUUGGCACUUUGAAUAUCAAGCCUGCUCUCUUGGAGAAGGUUAUGCAUGUUAACCCACCUGGCCCCUCCUCCUCACACUCUACUCCCUACUUUCUGGAGAGAGUCUGUUUUUCAGGGCUUUCUUUUGGCUUUAAGAAUAUUGCCCACAAUGACUAAAAGUAAGCCUUCUCUUUUCCAAGACUUGUGUUUCCUAUGCUAUGAUCCUGUUUUACCACACUCCUUAGCACUUCCUGAAUGACGUAGUGAACCAGAGCAUCUUUGUCUUGUUCCUGCGAGGCCUGGACCAGCUGCCCCAGAUGAAGCCCAGCCUCAGGGCGAAGCUGCCCAACAAGCUUCCAACUCAGAGGAAGCCACAGCUUGAGUUGCCAUUGAUGUUGCCAUUGGCCCAGGGGUGAGUUAGUACCACCUAACAUCCCCUCAAGAGGAGACCCAGCCUCCUGCAUGAGAAUGGAGUAAUCCUGGGAGAUGGUAUCUCCCUGAACAUAGACAGGACCUGGCAGUGAGGUCCACAGUGCCUGACCCCUGUGAGCCAGUGCCUCCAGAACCUGAGACUUCAAGUCAUUGCCCACUGGGGGAUGGACUGAAGCACAUCUCAAAAUUCAACCAGAUUUCCAGCUGGAGGUCAGGGGAAUCUAGAAACAUUAACUGCCUCCCCCAUUAAACAGAUGCAUUUAUUUUUGCAUUUAUUGAAUUAAUUUACAAAAUGAUGCUCUCUUGAGGGAAGCAUUCCCUGGAGCUUGCAAAUACCAACGAAUACCAUGUAGUUAGUAUGCAUUCAACAGAAGCAGUCAUGUCAGGGUUAUAUUAGCACCAACCAAAGAAUACAAACAUCCAGACUUUUGAAUUCUCCAACCUCGAAAACCUCUGUGAUUUUCUGUCUUUUAGGACUCAUCUAGAUAGGAAAAUUCCUGCCAGAAGUUUCUGUGCAGCACAUUCCUGAACUUCCUUCAAUAGUUUAACGUCUUUCUGAGGUUUCUGGUGUCAGUCCUUAGGGCCGACUGUUACCACCUUGAAUCCAAGGGGACUGUUUUGGAGGAGAGGAUGGGGGACCUAGUUGCAUCUUCCUCGUAGUGGGACCAGUUAGUCUAAUGUGUUUUUUCAGUCUUCUAUAUGGGAGAAGCACCUGUGGAGCCCAGUAUUCAGGUGUUUCUGAAACUGCUCCCUGUGAAUGAGGGCAUCUGCCCGCCUCCAGUGUCCCAAUCCUGCCUACUCCCUCUCUCCUCUUCUGAUGAGAUCUUUCAGCAAAUCAAGGCUGGGGCUUGACAAGCAACUUCCCAGUCAUCACCAACUCUCUGUAUUUUAAGGUCUCCAUCCACACUGCUUGCCCUGAAAGGAAAAGAAGCUACGCACUUACCCAAUGAAUCUAGAAAGAACCUGUUACUCUGCUCUUGUGCUAUCUGGGUAAAACUGAUCAAACAGCACAUUUUUCUGAGGCUAGGUUUGCUUCCUUUCUUCCUUUUCUGUUAUUGAAAAAGUUUGGUGUGGUUUCUGUUUCUACUUACUUUUAAAUUUUUUAAAUUAUUGACACAUAACUGUACAUACUUAUGGGGUACAAUGAAAUUUUUUUUGAGAUGGGGUGGCACUCUGUCACCUAGACUGGAAUGGUGGCAUGAUUACGGCUUGCUGCAGCCACUAAUUCCCAGGCUCAGGUCAUCUUCCCACCUCAGCCUCCUGAGUAGCUGGGACUAUAGGUGCACGCCAUUAUGCGUCACUAAUUUUCAUAUUUUUCAUAGAAACAGGGUUUCACAUGUUGCCCAGCCUGGUCUUGAACUCCUGGACUCAAACUAUCCACCUGCCUUGGUGUCCCAAAGUGCUGGGAUUACAAGCAUGAGCCACCGCACCCAUUCUGACGCUUUAGUAUAUGUGCGCAUU